rnacentral:rRNA from 1 species
AGCGAACGCUGGCGGCAGGCCUAACACAUGCAAGUCGAACGGAUCCUUCGGGAUUAGUGGCGGACGGGUGAGUAACACGUGGGAACGUGCCCUUUGGUUCGGAACAACUCAGGGAAACUUGAGCUAAUACCGGAUGUGCCUUUCGGGGGAAAGAUUUAUCGCCAUUGGAGCGGCUCGCGUCUGAUUAGCUAGUUGGUGAGGUAAAGGCUCACCAAGGGUACGAUCAGUAGCUGGUCUGAGAGGAUGCUCAGCCACAUUGGGACUGAGACACGGCCCAAACUCCUACGGGAGGCAGCAGUGGGGAAUCUUGCGCAAUGGGCGAAAGCCUGACGCAGCCAUGCCGCGUGAAUGAUGAAGGUCUUAGGAUUGUAAAAUUCUUUCACCGGGGACGAUAAUGACGGUACCCGGAGAAGAAGCCCCGGCUAACUUCGUGCCAGCCGCCGCGGUAAUAC